AUUAGCUGGAGCAAAAAGCAUGGAGGAUUAGAACAAGUUUGGGAGAGCAGAGCUGCAGGAGUCUCCGGUCGUAAGCUGAGGGAUAAGAGAAACACAAAACCGCUUGUAUGCCUUAUGAACUGCGGAAUUGGCCAGGUUCGAUGGCGAGCUGAAGAAUCAGGUCCAAGAGCCUAAAGGAUUUCACCUGUGGUGUUAAGAUUUGGUUUCCCCACCAGGCUGGUGGGAGGCUUCCUGCAGCCCAUGAACAAAAUUGUUUCCACUCUGACUUUUGUCAGCAUAUGAACUGUAACAGGCGCUCUAAACUCACCUGACCCUGUUGAACCGCCUCAGUUCAGUUUUCAGGAGUUUUAUGAACUGAAUGGUGUGGCUUGUUACUGGAACUGUGGAACUGAUUUGGUUUUUUUUUAUUUGUUAAUUUAAUUUGUUUUCUUUGUGUAUUAUUUCCUUUUAUUUUAA